rnacentral:lncRNA from 1 species
UCAGUGCUUUAUCAUUAGAAUUAUACUAUAUUUAUUUCUCAUUCUAUUUUUUAGUGCUAUAUCGGUGGAGUUGUACUAUAUAUUUGCCACAUUAUGGGGACGAGAGCAGUAUACGUUGUACGGUAUCUUGUUCAUUGUGUACGGUAUAUUGAUCAGUGUGACUGCUUGUAUAUCAAUAGCACUGACCUACUUCCAGCUGUCAGCCGAGGACUACCGAUGGUGGUGGAGGUCUAUAUUUAGUGCUGGGUAGGUAUAUUGUAAGAUGGCAUGGUAUUUUUUAUCCGUCGCACAACAUGGUUUAGGGGAAAUAGAAAUUACAGAUCCAUGUGCAAUGGUCUGAAUAUAAAAAAAAAAAGAAGAUGUGGUAUGAUUGCCAAUGAGAUUAUUCCUCUCAAGCGACCAAAUGACACCAAAAUUAACACUUAUAGAUCACUGUACGGCCUUUGACAAUAAGCAAAGCCCAUACCCCAUAAUGCGAGUCCAUUUAACUUGUUAGCACUUUUACAUGUACAUUUCUUGGUAGACUUUUAUGAAAUUUAUAUCAAAUAAUUAAUAUUUACAUCAGAAGUGUCAUUGAUGAGUUGAAAAAUCAGUGCCAAUCGUCCAUAUUUAAAGGACAUAUUAACCAUAUGGAAAAUUGCAUUGCAAGUGGUCACAUGUCUACAUUUCUCAUAGGAUUGUUAUGAAACUUUUAUUGAAGAUUUAUAUAUGUAAUGUAUUGCAUGAAUCCAAAUUUCUUUGUUGAUCAUAUAUUUACAGGAAUUCAAAUAUAAAUAAAAUAGCAUUUGUGUUGUAUUUAUUUUGUAGGUCCACAGGAUGUUUUGUCUUUCUGUAUGCCAUGUUCUACUACUUCAAGAGAUCCAACAUGUCCGGUGCCCUGCAGACAAUUGAGUUUUUCGGCUACACAUUUCUCACAUGUUAUGUUUUCUUCCUUAUGUUGGGAACAGUUUCAUUUUUUGCGUCAUUGAAUUUUGUUAGAUAUAUUUAUGUCAACUUGAAAAUGGAUUGAUGCUGAUGUCAGAUUUGAUAUUUAUUUUUUCAUAUUGUUAUGAUUAUUCCUUAUGUAUUAAAAGGAGGGGGUAUGAUAAGAGCCAUUUUUUGGUCCAGUAAAUUGCAUCUUUGACCUUAAACGACCAUCUUGCACGUAGUUUUUGGACCAGAUAGGUAUGACCAACAGCUGUACCCAAAAUGAUAUUUUACACAUUUUAACCUCUAUGAAAUUUAAGUCUUGAAGCAAGACAUUUUUGGGGGUAAAACUGUUACUCUUAUCUAAAAAGUAAUGACACGAUCUCAAAAUGAGACUAUUUUGGCAAUUUAUGCAGUCUUACACCAAUUUAAAGAAGUUUGAAGCCCCAAUGCAAAUAUUGCCGACCCAAUUAAAUAAUAUAAAUACUAAUGUCUUAAAAUCUUCUGAAUGAUAUUAAUUUCUAGAUUGAUAAAAGUUUUUUUAUUUUUCAAUUGAAGUGGCCAAAAAAUGGCCCUAUUAAACCUUCUUCUUUUGGAUAAAGUUUUCACAGAUAGUUAUCUUAUAUGGUUACACAAAAUGUUGUUAAAAAAAUCUCAUAAGACCUACCAGUACCUGUGUUGGGGACAAUUUUUAAUAAUUUGGUUUGUAUUGAAGAAAUAAGCUAUGUGGAUUUUAUAUGGAAACUUUUCUGUAAGAUUUUCAAAAAAAUUUUGGUUACCACAUAUUCUGCCUUGGAAUUGUGGGUAGCAAAUAUAUUAAACGGAGAUAAGCUGACUAUCUAUGACAAUUUUACCACAUUGUGGGACUAAUAUUAUAUAUAUUUAGGAAACAAUUUUGUUGUGGAUUUAUAUUUUCAGUUAUUUUGUACUGUCUUUUAUGUUUUCUGGUGUUUUUCAUUCUUGCCUAGUAAAUAAAUGCCUAAAUACAUCGUAGAACUUCAUUCCUCAUGAUUUUUAUUUCAUUUAUUUACUUGCAUAUAUUUGUAAUAGACUCGAUAAAUAAACAAAAAAUCUUUACAUUAAAGUAUUGUACAAGUAGAUGUAUGAUCUAGAAAAAUAGUUGUUAAAUCUAGUAUGCAGGCUUCUGUUCAGUUUGUUAAAAAUGGCAAGAAUUCUCCAUAUAGAAGGGGAGAUAACUUUUGUUAAACUUAUGUUAAUUUUAUAAAUUAGACCUGUUUAUAAUUUACUGGUGGAAAAACUAUUUUAAGGGUUAUUAAUGCUUUAUAAGUUGUGUGAUAGAGUGUUUGUUUAUGAGUUUGUUGAAUUUUGUUUUGUUAUUUUGAAAGUUGAUUGUGUAUAUACUAGGGGGAGACAAUAGUUGUGUUUUGGUAAAAAAAAAAAAUAGCCUGUAUAUGAUUAAAGUAUCAUAGUCUUCUUACAUUUCUUUUUUUUUAUCUUUCUAUCAUUUAAUAUUGUAAAAAAUAUAAAAUUUAUUGUAUAUAAGUCACAAGGAAAUAAUAUGUUAAAAAUGGAAUAAAAAAUAUUUGUAAAAGAUUAAUGUUGUACUCAACUUGUAUGUAAUGCACUUAAAAAUACAGAUUUUAUAUACAUUGACAAAAUUUUACAAAUCAACAUAUCACUAAAUUUAAAACAAUGCAUCAUGGGAUAUUGAUUUAAAUUCCAUAAUAUUAUUUUUCGCAUGUUUGUUAUAUAUUUUUGGUUAUCAUGUACAUUUAAAUUUCAUUGAAUUUUUUUUAAAUAAGAUAUAUGAAUCUUACAUUUUUCUUAACAUAGUGCACCUAAUGCAAGUUAAAAAAAAUACCUGUUUAUUAAACUGGCAUGAUUUGAACAUUCCUCAGUUAAUUUCAAUUGAUUUUUUUCCUGGUGUAAAUUUAUUUUUACAUCAGAUGUGAUAUAUUGAGAACAAUGAUUACUGAGUGUCAUUUUAAAUAAAGCAAAAUUUUUUUCAAUAACUUUUUGAAAUUUUUUAAUUUAAACUGCUUUUCUGUGAUGUGAGAUUGAAAGUUGUAUGGUAUGAAAUUAUUCAUUCAAAUCAAAUUUUGUUAUGUAGAUUAAGAAAGUUCAGAAUGGUGAGUCCUUCAUGUAUAUAUUCUGCUUGCAUGGUAUGACAGAUUAAUAGAGGGAGCAUCUCAAGGUGUAAUUGUAAAUCUUAGAAUGUCACAAAUAUUUGAUAUUGGUCAAUUGAGAUACAUGUAUUCAUACUUAUGUCAAAGACAUCAAUUUUAUGUGCUUUAAAACUGAGAUAUUCACAAAAAUGCAACUGUUGGAAAUAUAAGUCAAGAAAAUUUAUUUUCUGAAAUUUCAAUCACAGCUUGCUCACAGAAAGGCCAGUAGCUGAACUGAUUCUGAAAAUUGAUUUUCGACACUGCAAUAAUAUAAAUAUGCUGACUGUUGUUCUAAUUCUCAAUGCUAUGUAUGUGAUUCAAAUACCAAGCCAAUUAUUAAUUACAGUGUUUUUUUCAGAGGGGUGAUUAUGUAGUUAAGACAAACACUGUAAAAAACGAUAUAUCAUAAAACCAUUCAUCCUGAUAAAAAUGUAUGAUACUCUUCAUCAGAAGAUAUGAUUACAAAAUCUAGCACUUAGUUGAAUGUAGAUGAGCCUCCUUUAAAAAUUAUUUGUAAAUUGUACCUCUCUGUCUUUGGGUUUAAGGUUAAAAGAGAACAGUUUAUAUAAAGUACCAGAGGUGUUCCAUAUUCUAUUUUAUGAAGAAUAAACAAACAAGAAAAAAUUAGUUGCACAUUUGUUAACAGAAAUGCCAGUGUUGUAUUAAGGCCAGAAAAAGGUAUAUAAUCUUGCAGCAAAAGUUGACCUAAAGCAUAGAUAUAAAGGAUAUCUAAUCUUGUACUUGCUGGAAAAGUUAAAUUGCAUGGCUCGCUUGUAUUUUCUAACUUUGGUAAUUAUUUAUAAAAUUAUUUUCUACACUUUCUUGAUUAUUAAUUUAAAUGUCUGUUUUUUUUUUACCUAAAUAGAUAAGCUUUUUAAAAAAAAAUCCAACCCUGUAUCCUCCUGUCAGGAAUCAUACAAGAUCUUUUUCUGAGUACCAUCUUCGGGGGGAAAUUGCUGGGAAAAUAUACACAAAUAAUUGUGCUCUUGUAACUAAAGGAAGACUAUCAUGUCUGUCAGAGGGGAGAUAACUCUAAAUUGUUUCUGAUCAUUGCUAUUUUCUCUUUUCAUUAUUACAUUCACAUCUUCUUUGUCAUAUAUUAGGUAAAAUUACUCCUCAUCAAGAUAACUUGUUGUGAAAACUUAGAAUCUGUAAAACAAGCUAGGGAUUUAUUUUUAAUAUAGUAUUUAUUAUUAUAAAAACAUACUUUGGUCGAGCAAUUUCCUGAAAUCAUUUUGAAAUUUUUAUAUUUGUAUAAGUGUUGAAUUUUUGUUAAUAUAGGAAGAUCAUGCAUGCAUUUUAAAUCGGCAUUUAUAUUAGAAAUUAGAAAAAGCUUGCGCUUCAUCAAUCAUACUUGUAAUAAGAAUCUGAAAAUACAAAAGGUAUUGUUAUUCUUGUUCAAAAAAUAACAAAAGGUAUUGUUAUUCUUGUUAAAAAAAAUAACAAAAGGUAUUGUUAUUCUCAUUCAAAAAAUAACAAAAUGAUAUCUUCACAAUAACCUCCUAUGCUAGUUGAUAUAGAUUAUUCUCAAUUUUCUCUUACAUUUUAUAUGUACAAUAAAUGAAAACUAAUUCAUUCAUUAGAAAGAUUAUGUAAAACAGAAAAGUAUAUGUGUUGAGUGUUGAUUAAGGACAAAUUUCUUGUUGAAUGAAAUAUAUUCUUGUUUCUUGGUAAAUAAAUAUCAAAAUAUCA